ACAAUGUCUUUUUCUAUAAUACCGUUCCUUUGUGGUAUUCCAUCUUUAAUGUAAUAGAUAUUAUGCUGUUUCUUGCUCAGAAUCACCUUGGAGGACUUUUUAAAAAUUCAGAUCAGCAACUUUGAGUUGUAGAGGAGGGAAAACCAGGGCAAUGUAAAUAACCGGGUAGAGCUAGAGAGAGGGAAGGGAAGUUAACAAUGAAGAAGGCCCUGAAUGAGAGAGGCUGGGGAAGGAGAUGUAAACACCCACACUGGCCUGGGCCAGCUCUUGCUUCUCGGCUGGACCCUGUGGUCGGGGCCUGGCAGUGUCAGGGGCUUAUGCUUAAUUUUUCUAGUUUUCCACUGUCCUAGAACAUGCUGUAAAAGCUCAUGGCACAAAGGAUGCUAUAGCUUCUACCUUAUAACAAGGGGGCUAUGGAAAAGCACAAUGAAAGCAUCAGGAUUGCUGAUCAUGUGAUAUAUUCUUGGAAAUUAAAAACUUUUAGGAAUUAACUCUUUUUAAUUGUCUCCACUAGCCCACUUUUGACUGGACAGAUGUUGGAGAGAAUUGCCACAGAAUUUAAUCAGUUACAGUUUCAUGCUGUUCAAAGCAAAGGCUUGCCUCUUUUGGACAAAAUAAGACCACGUAUAGCUGGUAUUACAGCCAUGUUACAACAGUCACUGGAAGGCCUCCUG